UCAUAUGCUUGUCUCAAAAAUUAACCCUUGCAUGUCUAAUUACAAAACUCACUAAUUUGAAACCGCGAAGGGCUCAUUAAAUCACACCUAAUCUACUGGAUAGUUAACAGUUACUUGGAUAACUGCGGUAAUUCUGGAGCUAAUACAUGCAACAAGCCUCAAACUUACGUGAAAGGCGCUUUUAUUAAAUCAAAACCAAACGUUCUCGGACGUAUUUUUGGUGACUCUGGAUAACUUUGGGCUGAUCGCAUUACCCUUGCGCUGGCAACAUAUCCUUCAAAGGUGUGCCCUAUCAACUGUCAACUGUGGCAUAAACCCCCACAGUGGUUUUGACGGGUAACGGGAAAUCAGGGUUCGAUUCCGGAGAGGGAGCCUUAAAAACGGCUACCACAUCUAAGGAAGGCAGCAGGCACGCAAAUUACCCAAUGACCGCAGGUCAAGGUAGUGACAAAAAAUAACGAUACGGGACUCAUCCAAGGCCCCGUAAUCGGAAUGAGUACACUUUAAAACCGUCCCCAAGGAUCUAUUGAAGGGAAA
rnacentral:rRNA from 1 species